rnacentral:lncRNA from 1 species
GUGUUGGCCGGGCUGGUCUCCAGCUCCUGACCGCGAGUGAUCUGCCCGCCUCGGCCUCCUGAGGUGCCGGGAUUGCAGGCGGAGUCUCGCUCACUCAGUGCUCAAUGUUGCCCAGGCUGGAGUGCAGUGGCGUGAUCUCGGCUAGCUACAACCUCCACCUCCCAGCCGCCUGCCUUGGCCUCCCAAAGCGCCGAGAUUGCAGCCUCUGCCCGGCCGCCACCCCGUCUGGGAAGUGAGGAGCGUCUCUGCCUGGCCGCCCAUCGUCUGGGAUGUGAGGAGCCCCUCUGCCCGGCCGCCCAGUCUGGGAAGUGAGGAUCGCCUCUUCCCGGCCGCCAUCCCGUCUGGGAAGUGAGGAGCGUCUCUGCCCGGUCGCCCGUCGUCUGAGAUGUGGGGAGCGCCUCUGCCCCGCGGCCCUGUCUGGGAUGUGAGGAGUGCCUCUGCCCGGCUGCGACCCCGUCUGGGAACUGAGGAGUGUCUCUGCCAGACCGCCACCCCGUCUGGGAGGAGUCUAUAAAGCAUCAACUCAAAGUGACAAGAAGUGGACACAUAUUCUAAGGGAGCUCCCCAGGACAAAAGGAAGAUGGAGGAAAUGGUCUCUGAAGGGAAGUGGGGAAAGUAAGAAGUAACUUGGACUCUUCUAGAGGAGAGCAGGCACAAACUAAGCCAAGAAAAG